AAAACGCCCGCACCCCUCGCACCUCUCUCUCCCAGCCAUUCUUUCAUUCUCCCCUCCCAGUUAGGGUUCCCGCCGCCGCCGCUCGUGCUUCACCUCCCGUCCCAAGCUCCACCUAUCAUCCAGCGUCCCGAUCUACUCGAUUUCAAUCUCAGGAGCGCACGGGAGGCGAGGUGCCCGUUGCCGGGACAGGGGCCAUGUGGAGGCUCAGCCCUUGGAUCCCUCCGUUUCGCGGGCCAGGGCGCCCAUCCGCGCCGCGCCGCCGCCGGCAUAGAGGCCCGGGCUCGGGUAGCCGCCACGGUGCCGGGUGCGCCAACGAGGUCUUUAGGGACCGCGUGGUGGGCGUGACCUCUCCCGGCUCCCCGCCCUCGCCUGCGACGACGAGUAGCAGGUCACGCUGCUCCUGCAGUCCCAGCUCAUGGUCGUGCUGGACAAGCCCCACCACGUGCCUUGGAUUCGGUCGUGGCGUGGGCUGGGAACCGUGCGGUGUUGUCUGAUGCGUUGUACGCGGUACGCACCGGGAGGUUUGGUUGGUCGAAGCCAGUAUGAGUAGCUCUUGAGGCUGAUGGAUGGAUGGAUGUGUGCACGCCUGUAUGUGUGUAUGGAUGUCAGGGUCAUGUUGCUUGGUGGGCAAAGGCGGGGGGUAGAACCUCCUUUUGCUUGGCGGGCAAAGGCUGAUGGAUGGGUGGAUGUGUGCACGCCUGACGCCUGUAUGUAUGUAUGUAUGAAUAUCAGGCUCAUGUUGCUUGGUGGGCAAAGGCCGGGGGUAGAACCUCCUUUUCGGUAAAAAAAAAAGGGGGGACGAUGAUGAUGACUCUGGCUGAAAUAAGCAUGUCUUGAGCAAUCAAGACUGUUGUGGCCUGUGGGUACUAAAUUAGAGAGCUCACCCUUACCUCUCUUGCAGCCUGUUCAAUUCAUCGGUAAUGUUCGAUGUUCUGCUCCUCGGAUGGUCACUCUGAUGAGCGAUAACCAGGGCAGUUCGUUUACAUUGCGAUGGAUAUAUUAUGCAGCAUGAGAUGUGAGUGUUGGGCUUGAAGAUCGAAGACAAAACUGAGCCCUCUUUUGCUAUGCUACAAAUACACAAAUUUUCCUUAUUUACUGUACAGUGUUCUUCUUUCUGUUCUAUUUCUCUAUUGUGUUGAUGUGAGUGAAGAUCCACCUGGACUUGGGAUUUAUGUCUUCUUUUGGUGAUGAACUCAACUACCCUAAGCCUACUUGGAUUGAUUUAUAAUUGGGUUUGUUUUGCCUUUCUAGUUGUAUAUACUAUAUGUAUUACACGAUUGUCCUUUUUCUCCACUGCCUGUAGCUAUUGGCAGUUUUAUUCAUGUGGUUAACAAGAUACCGUCGUCCUGUUUGUCUUGUUAGUAAGCAUGUUACUUCGAUCCUCCACGGGAUUGCAAAGAGUUGUCAUUAAAACAGAUUGCCAAAUUGUGCUAUCUAUUUUGGUCAGAGCAGGCCCUUUGUUAUGAUCCUCUUUGCUAUUUAGUUCACUGGUCAUCAAUCUCUUUUUAAGCUGCUGCUGUUAAUAUUAACUGCCACAUUGGUUAUUAGAAUCACAUGAUGCAUUAGUGCAGUACAGAUCCCUCACAUGUUGCUUAAAAUGAGAGUGUCAAGUAAAUUUAUCAGCUGGAAAGUUUUUUGGGUUAAAAAUGUCUUUAUAUUUUGUCUAAUCAUGAAUGAAAGUCCUCUUGGAGCUUUUGCUUGGGCCAUUUGGGAUCUGUAUGUUGGCCAUUGUCCCCCCUUCACAUUAUAUGUUUUAAAAUUUAUUUAGUGGUCUUGCUUUGGUUUUUGUAGGCGACCUCAAUCGCCACCACGAGAGGAGCAGGGGUGGAGGCUGCUCUUGGGUACGAGAGGAGCACAGCAGGGAAUUGUUCAGAGGGUAGGCCAAGGGACGCCGAGUCGAGUCAGCCGUCAGAGCGAACACGUUCAUGGCUUUCUGUGAUUUUCCUGGCUGAUUUGGGUGUGAAUCGCGCGUUCGUCCUGUAAAACACGGCGCCGCAGAGGCUUACCCGCACCCAGACGUCGACCUCAAGAAGCUGCGCCAGCUCAUCCUCGAGGUCCGACGACCCCAGGCCUGACCUCGAUGAGUGCCCAAUCUGCUUCCCGUUCUAUCCGAGCCUUAGUUGGUCAAGUGCUGCCCAACUGAAACAUGAAUUGAGUGAUGACACUAUAGAUUUCACUGGCCACGUGCUUGCUCUUUACAGGAACGAUAGCUACCUAAGCGAGCUACCACUUGAUAUACUGUUAAAAGAAUGGAAGUAUGCCUUAACUGAAGAUUUUAGCUUUAUCUUUCCCUCAUCCUUGAACUUGUUGAUUUUGUAAGGUUUUUGUGGAUCGUGCUGAUCGUUCUGGGGCAUUGGAGUGGGCCAACUACCUGACGACAGGCAAGAUCGAGGUGCUGUCCGUGUAGUGGUUGCUCGGCCGCGACCAUGGGGUGAGGCUCCUUUUCUUUUUAUUUUUGUGAUCGUUUGAUUGUUCAGAAGAUAGGUUAGAUUUUUUGUGGCAUAUCAUUAUGUUUUGUCUGUUUGUGUAUUCCUUUUCCUAUUUUAUUAUUGGCUGUGUGACGAGAAGUCAGAGCGACAAAUCUGAAGCGACUCCUCCCUGGUAAGUUCCAUGUACUGGGAUUUUACUUAUUGAUUUUUUUCUCUAAAUGGUAGAAUGAUACUUCUUCUGAUAUUGUAUUCUAGAACAAUCCUAUGUUUUGUUCUUGUUACUAUAGAAGUGCAUCCCCCUUUUAUUCUGAUAGCAAGAUGCUCUUUAUUUUCAAUGCAAAUAAAUGAUUACUGGAGCCCAUGUAUAUUGUACAGCAAUGCAGUAUGUGGUGUUAUUUUUCAUUUUUUAUAGAUAGUGGUAAAAAUGAAAUCUGAUCCAAAGUAUGUGGUGUACAAUUCAUGGAAAACCUUACUGGGUUGAUAACAAUUAAAUUUGAUUUAGUACUACCUGAAGAGUUCUUUAUUUGUGCUUUAUAAAGUCAGAUUAAUUUUCAUUUUUUAGUUGUAUGCUUUGUAGAUCAGUAUACUGACGAAUGGUGCCUCGGCGUUUUAGUUUAUUAUCUGGUCUUUCACACCCAUUAACAGUGAACUCAUUUGAAGGUUGGAGAGUCUACCCCGGAAUCAUUUGAGAUCGUCGCACGAGUUUCUUCUGAAGCUGUGAGAUCUGGGACGGUGGAUACAUUGAGCUUGAGGAGAAGAUCAGCCACUUCAUCCACGAUGACGCACUCAUCCACUAGGUACUGAUCUUGGUGUCGAUUCCUACCUCUAGCUUCUGUUGACACAACUUCAGUUGGUCACAUGUUUCUUGGUUGUUCAAGUAUGCUUGGUGGUUCUUCGUUGAGGGUUGAGAUGGACCAUGCACUGGGUACACUCUUUGAUGAUUUUGUCGGCAUCCAACUGUUCUCGAAUUGGUUAUCUUCUCUUAUCUCUCCAUGUGCUUCAUCUUCUCUUAUCUCUCCAUGUGCUUCUUAAUUUUCUUGUGCAAUGAAUGCUGAAUUUAGACAGCAGUGAUUUGUUUGUGCAGUCCAUGCUUUGACAUUGAAAAUGUGAAGAUGGAAUUAUGUGGUUUGGACCGUGAUGGUGGUUGAUUAAUUUUUAUUCUGGGCAUUACAUUAUUAAUAUGAACUAUAGUUACAAUUGUUGAACUACACUAUUUUGUCUGCUAAAUUCUGGGCAUUGGGUCCAAUCUAUAUAUAGCUAAUAAGAUGAUUAUUUAAUUUUUCCAUUGGACGUGGAAUUUACCAUAUGUGGCUACUUUCAGGUUAGUAAGUUUUGUUCUUCAUUAUAGCAUGGACUCUUGUUUCUCAGUAGUAUAUGCUUAAUUUGCUCUUACUGGAGACAAAAAAUUCCCUCAAACUGCAAGGAAUGAUGUAAUAUAAGAGGAGAAUUAGAUCUGUCUCACACCUCACCUUCAAUAAUAAGAUAAGUGGUGGAUUUUUAUGGGAAUUUUCUGGAGAAAAUAUUAGGUGGGGAUUUGAAAUUGGAAAUGAAAAGGGUGUGGAAUGCCAAGUGAUGUCUCUGUUUGUUAUAAGCUGCCUUGUCAUACUAAAUGCAUGUUUUCUCCUGUUGUAAUACACAUAUUGAUCUUCUACUUUUCUGAUCAAACUGGGAAUCAUACUAUUCUUUUUUUGUCCAGUACACCCCACUAAUUAGAAAACCAGAAAUGUUGGCUACAAUUCCAACGGGCCAGGCCAGGUGGGCCCAGUCGCCACUCAACAAGGCGGCCGCCGCUGCCGCUGCCGCUCCCAGGCCGACAGCUACAGCUACACACAGGCCCAGCAGGCGGGCCAUGCCGCCACUACGUGAGGUGGCAGGACUGUAGCUGGUGCAUGCGCUCCGACAGCCUCGGCUGUUGCAGACGACGCUGAUUGCUGCGGCCAAAGACGCUGAUUGCUGCGGCCAACGGGACAGAUUCCCACGCGCGGGAAUCCGAUGCCUUGGUUUGCUUUCUGCCACAAGUUACGAUGCUCUGGAAUCAGAUUCCCGCCUAAACUUUGACGUCUUGUGUACUGAUUCAUACACAGACGACACUGAUUAAAGUACUGCAUGAUUAAAACAGGGAAGAGGCUCGUCGUGUGGAGGAGUAGGAACGACAGCGAAAGGAGGCUCGUGAGGCAGAGAGACAGAGAAAAAAAGAAAGGGCUCGUGAGGCCAAGGAUGUAUCUAAUUUCAGUUGUACCGUGUCGUAAAGAAAAAAAAUAUAGUUUUGGCAUAAAA